rnacentral:rRNA from 2 species
AGAUUAAGUUAUUAAGGGCGCACGGUGGAUGCCUUGGCACUAGAAGCCGAUGAAGGACGUUACUAACGACGAUAUGCUUUGGGGAGCUGUAAGUAAGCUUUGAUCCAGAGAUUUCCGAAUGGGGAAACCCAGCAUGAGUUAUGUCAUGUUAUCGAUAUGUGAAUACAUAGCAUAUCAGAAGGCACACCCGGAGAACUGAAACAUCUUAGUACCCGGAGGAAGAGAAAGAAAAUUCGAUUCCCUUAGUAGCGGCGAGCGAAACGGGAAGAGCCCAAACCAACAAGCUUGCUUGUUGGGGUUGUAGGACACUCUAUACGGAGUUACAAAGGACGACAUUAGACGAAUCAUCUGGAAAGAUGAAUCAAAGAAGGUAAUAAUCCUGUAGUCGAAAAUGUUGUCUCUCUUGAGUGGAUCCUGAGUACGACGGAGCACGUGAAAUUCCGUCGGAAUCUGGGAGGACCAUCUCCUAAGGCUAAA